AGAGUUUGAUCCUGGCUCAGGAUGAACGCUGGCGGCGUGCCUUAGGCAUGCAAGUCGAACGAGAACCCUUCGGGGGGAAAGUGGCGAACGGGUGAGUAACGCGUAGGAAUCUACCUUAAAGUGGGGAAUAACCCCGCGAAAGCGGGGCUAAUACCGCAUGUGGUUGCAAGACCAAAGGGCAUAACUGCUCGCUUUAAGAGGAGCCUGCGUCCUAUCAGCUUGUUGGUGGGGUAAUGGCCUACCAAGGCGAUGACGGGUAGCUGAUGUGAGAGCAUGAUCAGCCACAAGGUCACUGAGACACGGGGCCUACACCUACGGGUGGCAGCAACCGGGAAUAUUGCGCAAUGGACGAAAGUCUGACGCAGCGACGCCGCGUGGGGGAUGACAGCCUUCGGGUUGUAAACUCCUUUUAUGGGGGAAUAAGUACUGAAGGUACCUCAUGAAUAAGCACCUGCUAACUACGUGCCAGAAGCCUCGGUAAUACGUAGGGUGCAAGCGUUAUCCGGAUUUAUUGGGCGUAAAGCGUUUCGCAGGCGUCCUGUUACAUCUUACCUUAAAGACUGGGGCUUAACUCCAGAAAAGGGUAAGAGAUGAACAGGAUAGAGUUUGGUCGGGGAUACUGGAAUUUGCGGUGGAGGGGUGAAAUCCGUUGAGAUCGCAAAGAACAUCAAGGGCGAAGGCAGGUAUCUAGGCCUAUACUGACGCUCAGGUACGAAAGCUAGGGUAGCAAAAGGGAUUAGAGACCCCUGUAGUCCUAUGCUGUAAACGAUGUCUGCUAGCUGAUUCCGCUUCAUUGCGGGACUGGCGUAAGCUAACGCGUUAAGCAGACCGCCUGGGAAGUACGGUCGCAAGACUGAAACUCAAAGGAAUUGACGGGGAGGCGCACAACCAGUGGAGCAUGUGGUUUAAUUCGAUACGAAGCGUAGAACCUUACCUGGGUUUGACAUGCUACUGCACAGUUUGGGAAACCAGACAAGCCUUCGAGGGUGUAGCACAGCUGCUGCAUGGCUGUCGUCAGUUCGUGUCGUGAGAUGUCCACUUAAGUGUGGUAACGAACGCAACCCUUGUCCUAUGUUAAAUUUUCACAUAGGAGACUGCGGUCGAACUUUCGACCGAGGAAGGAGAGGAUGACGUCAAGUCAGCACGGCGCUUAUAUCCAGGGCGACACACAUCCUACAAUGGAAAGUACAGACGGUUGCGAAGCGGUAACGCUAUAGCUAAUCCUAAAAAACUUUCCUCAGUUCGAAUUGAGGGCUGCAAUUCGCCCUCAUGAAGUCGGAAUUGGUAGUAAUCGCAGGUCAGCAGACUGCGGUGAAUACGUUCUCGCCUCUUGUACACACUGCCCGUCAAGUGAGGAGAGUUGGGGGUGCCCAAAGUAAUUUUUUUAACCCUAAUUUAUUAGGGGGAAAGAUUCCUAAGGCAAAUCCAGCAAUCAGCACUAAGUCGUAACAA
rnacentral:rRNA from 1 species